rnacentral:rRNA from 1 species
UAGGGAAUCUUCCACAAUGGGCGCAAGCCCGAUGGAGCAACACCGCGUGAGUGAAGAAGGGUUUCGGCUCGUAAAGCUCUGUUGUUAAAGAAGAACACGUAUGAGAGUAACUGUUCAUACGUUGACGGUAUUUAACCAGAAAGUCACGGCUAACUACGUGUCAG